rnacentral:lncRNA from 1 species
CGGAUCCUGGACAAGAGCCUCCCAGCUGACAUUCUCUAUGAGGACCAGCAGUGUCUUGUGUUCCGUGAUGUGGCCCCUCAGGCUCCUGUGCACUUCCUGGUCAUUCCUAAGAAGCCCAUUCCUCGGAUUAGCCAGGCUGAAGAAGAAGACCAGCAGCCACCUAUGUCCCUCCGCUCUCUCUAUAGCUUCUAGGACACCUACUCCUUGUGGCCAAGCAGACAGCAAAGGCUGAGGGCCUGGGAGAUGGAUACCGACUUGUGAUCAACGAUGGGAAGCUGGGUGCACAAUCUGUGUAUCAUCUGCACAUUCAUGUACUUGGGGGCCGGCAGCUCCAGUGGCCUCCAGGUUGAACCUGCCAACUGAUUAAAGGACACCAGACUCUGGAUGCUUGGAUGGAAAGGGAAAAAUGGACCCUGUGAUGCUAAUAAAACUGUUCUCCCUUA